rnacentral:piRNA from 1 species
CUGGCAUUUCGUUUGAGGCAGGAUCUGGUA